rnacentral:rRNA from 1 species
ACGAACGCUGGCGGCGUGCCUCAUACAUGCAAGUCGAGCGGACUGAUUAAGAGCUUGCUCUUAUGACGUUAGCGGCGGACGGGUGAGUAACACGUGGGCAACCUGCCCUGUAGAUCGGGAUAACACCGAGAAAUCGGUGCUAAUACCGGGUAAUAUCUGAGAUCACAUGAUCUUAGGUUAAAAGAUGGCUCCGGCUAUCACUACAGGAUGGGCCCGCGGCGCAUUAGCUAGUUGGUAAGGUAAUGGCUUACCAAGGCGACGAUGCGUAGCCGACCUGAGAGGGUGAUCGGCCACACUGGGACUGAGACACGGCCCAGACUCCUACGGGAGGCAGCAGUAGGGAAUCUUCCGCAAUGGACGAAAGUCUGACGGAGCAACGCCGCGUGAGUGAUGAAGGGUUUCGGCUCGUAAAGCUCUGUUGUUAGGGAAGAAACAGUACCGAACGAACUAGGUCGGUACCUUGACGGUACCUAACCAGAAAGCCACGGCUAACUACGUG